rnacentral:rRNA from 1 species
ACCCGCUGAACUUAAGCAUAUCAAUAAGCGGAGGAAAAGAAACCAACAGGGAUUGCCUCAGUAACGGCGAGUGAAGCGGCAACAGCUCAAAUUUGAAAUCUGGUCCUCGGGCCCGAGUUGUAAUUUGCAGAGGAUGCUUCUGGCGAGGCGCCGAUCGAGUCCCCUGGAAUGGGGCGCCGUAGAGGGUGAGAGCCCCGUAUGAUCGGAUGCCGAACCGGUGUGAAGCUCCUUCGACGAGUCGAGUAGUUUGGGAAUGCUGCUCUAAACGGGAGGUAAAUUUCUUCUAAAGCUAAAUACCGGCCAGAGACCGAUAGCGCACAAGUAGAGUGAUCGAAAGAUGAAAAGCACUUUGAAAAGAGGGUUAAAAAGCACGUGAAAUUGUUGAAAGGGAAGCGCCUAUGACCAGACUCGGCCGCGGGGGAUCAUCCGUCGUUCUCGGCGGUGCACUUCCCCGCAGUCGGGCCAGCAUCGGUUUUCCCCGGGGGAUAAAGGCGCCCGGAACGUGGCUCCCUUCGGGGAGUGUUAUAGCCGGGCGUGCAAUGCUCCGGGGGGGACCGAGGACCGCGCUUCGGCAUGGAUGCUGGCGUAAUGGUCACCGGCGACCCGUCUUGAAACACGGACCAAGGAGUCAAGCAUUAGGGCGAGUGUACGGGUGUAAAACCCGAACGCGCAGUGAAAGCGAACGCUGGUGAGAGCUCCGGCGCAUCACCGACCGAUCCUGAAGUCUUCGGAUGGAUUUGAGUAGGAGCCUUAACGCUUGGACCCGAAAGAUGGUGAACUAUGCCUGAAUAGGGUGAAGCCAGAGGAAACUCUGGUGGAGGCUCGCAGCGGUUCUGACGUGCAAAUCGAUCGUCAAAUUUGGGCAUAGGGGCGAAAGACUAAUCGAACCAUCUAGUAGCUGGUUACCGCCGAAGUUUCCCUCAGGAUAGCAGUGUUGUCUUCAGUUUUAUGAGGUAAAGCGAAUGAUUAGGGACUCGGGGGCGCUAUAUUGCCUUCAUCCAUUCUCAAACUUUAAAUAUGUAAGAAGCUCUUGUCGCUUAAUUGGACGUGGGCAUUCGAAUGCAACAACACUAGUGGGCCAUUUUUGGUAAGCAGAACUGGCGAUGCGGGAUGAACCGAACGGGGGGUUAAGGUGCCGGAGUGGACGCUCAUCAGACACCACAAAAGGCGUUAGUACAUCUUGACAGCAGGACGGUGGCCAUGGAAGUCGGAAUCCGCUAAGGACUGUGUAACAACUCACCGGCCGAAUGUACUAGCCCUGAAAAUGGAUGGCGCUCAAGCGUCCCACCCAUACCCCCCCCUCAGGGUAGGAUCUAUGCCCUGAGGAGUAGGCGGCCGUGGGAGUGGUGACGAAGCCUAGGGCGUGAGCCCGGGUCGAACCGCUCCUAGUGCAGAUCUUGGUGGUAGUA